rnacentral:misc_RNA from 1 species
GAAAUGCGAUAAGUAAUGUGAAUUGCAGAAUUCAGUGAAUCAUCGAAUCUUUGAACGCACAUUGCGCUUGCCAGUAUUCUGGCGAGCAUGCCUGUUCGAGCGUCAUUUCAACCAUCAAGCUCUGCUUGCGUUGGGGAUCCGCGGCUGCCCGCGGUCCCUCAAAAACAGUGGCGGGCUCGCUAGUCACACCGAGCGUAGUAACUCUACAUCGCUAUGGUCGUGCGGCGGGUUCUUGCCGUAAAACCCCCAAUUUCUAAGGUUGACCUCGGAUCAGGUAGGAAUACCCGCUGAACUUAAGC